rnacentral:piRNA from 1 species
UGCGAGCGCAAUUCCUGGUUGAUUUC